rnacentral:rRNA from 1 species
GACGAACGCUGGCGGCGUGCUUAACACAUGCAAGUCGAACGGAAAGGGCCUGCUUUUGUGGGGUGCUCGAGUGGCGAACGGGUGAGUAACACGUGAGUGACCUGCCCUUUACUUGGGGAUAACUUCAGGAAACUGGGGCUAAUACCGGAUAUGAGCUCCUGCUGCAUGGUGGGGGUUGGAAAGUUUCGGCGGUUGGGGAUGGACUGGCGGCUUAUCAGCUUGUUGGUGGGGUAGUGGCUUACCAAGGCUUUGAGGGGUAGCCGGCCUGAGAGGGUGACCGGCCACAUUGGGACUGAGAUACGGGCCAGACUCCUACGGGAGGCAGCAGUGGGGAUUAUUGCACAAUGGGCGGAAGCCUGAUGCAGCAACGCCGCGUGCGGGAUGACGGCCUUCGGGUUGUAAACCGCUUUCGCCUGUGACGAAGCGUGAGUGACGGUAAUGGGUAAAGAAGCACCGGCUAACUACGUG